GGUGCUGGGUAUUGUAAAGGGCUUUGGAAAUAUGAGAUGACUUAGAUCACCAACACAUCCCGGUGUUAAGGAUGAAAGAGGGAGCUCAUUCUUGCAUCCACUUUACAGGGUUCCCUGAUCUCCACCAUUUAAUGUUUGGCUGUGGGUCUGCAUCUGUUUCCAAAGUUGCUGGAUGAAACCUCUCAUGAAUUCCCACCGAGCCGCUUGCCUGCCUCUGAGUCACUCAGAAGCCAGCCCUCCCUCUUUGGGAUGUUAGGUAUCAUGAUCAACGCAUAUUUGAUCCCAUACUUCCUGGCCAGAGGUCUUCACUGAAUUACCGUUUCUGAAUUUGUGAGGAAUUCAGCAUCAACAAAGAUUUGAUAGCAAGACUUGCAGCUGCCAUCUCGUGAUCUUGAGGAUGGAUGCCAUGUGCUAAGGAUAGUGGAACUGAAAGAUGAAAGCAUCCCGGUACAUCGAUGAUAGCAUAUGUCUGUCACACUCUCCCUGGCCUGUCUCCCUCCUGACUUCUGAUCAACAGAAAAGUAAUAGCCCUGCUAACUUAAGACACUCCUAUCUCACAUCAUUCUUAGCAAUAGUCAGAUGCAAGUUUUAACUCAUACAACCCUUUCUGAUGUAUAAUAUGGAAUGAUAAGAUGUGACAGACCUGUUUUUGCCAGGUCACAUUUGUGUAGUAAUUAUGAAAAACUCUUUGCUUCAAAGGGAAAGAAACUUUUAUGUGGAAUGCAGUGUUUGGCACAUGGAACAUAUUCAUGGAAAACCAUAUUGAAUAAAUGGAGUAAUAAUGUUCUGUCAAACCAGAUUUCUAAAUGAUUGACCUCAGCAUGAAAGUGUGCUCACUGGGGUCUAAUUCCUGACUGGAAAAUAUAUCCAAGACAUCUCGUCUGAACAUGACCAAGAUAUUUUGUCUAGAGGGAAGAAUGACCUCUCUUCUAUGGUGGUAUCCAGUCCUGUUUUCUUCCAAGAGAAUCAAUAAUAUGUUCCAUUGAGACCAGAAUCUAAGGGUCUCUGGCAUUGAACAUCACAUGCCACUUCUGACCUCAGACUCACAGCAUUUCCUUGGAAGCUGUCAUGGUUCAUAUGAAUGUUGGAUCAACUCAAAAACAAAUCUCUGGAAACUGCUGUGAGAAGAGUUCCUCAAUGAAGAUGAGAUGAAAAGACCAUCCUAUCUAUGGGCAGCACUGUUCUGGGGUACAGGCUCUGGAAUGAGAAUGGAGAAGACUAGUUGAGCACUUGCAGCCUUCCCUACUUCCUGACCUCUGAUGCAACGUGACCAGCUGCAUCCAUGAUGCUCCUACCAUCGAGUCUUCUCCUUCAUGACAGAUUGCAUGCUUUCCAACUGGACGCAAAAUACAAAUGGUAUUUUUGUCACAAAACCCAGAACAGGGAUUUGACCAAGAAGACAUCUCACACAAUCCAACUUCAGCCAGUAAGCUGAGUGAGGCCAAUGGGAAAAUAGAUGUUUUUCAAAAGCUUGCAUGUCAUUAGUCAUCGCCUUUUUCAUCUUUUUCUGAUCUUGAAAUAUGAUGUUGAGGGAAGGGGCAGUCAGCAUGAUGUAGACAUGAGAGCUGGAGCACUUGGAGAUCAAAUGUCCAUCAGCAUAUGGUAUAUGAGAUCACUACAGAGUGGCUUGCCAUUCUUCACUUGGCUGUCAUCCCAACAUCAUGUCAUGGUGUAUUCCCUCAAAUCAUGAUCUCCUUUAGAAAUCAAGAACUUGACCCCUGAGCUUCUAACUUUGUUAGAAAAUAAGUCUGUUCUGGAAUAAACCACCACUGCUCACAUAUUCUGUUACUUACAUAAUAAAGCCUUCUUUUGUGUGUGUAUAUGUAAUGUAUGCAUGUGAUGAGUGUGCCUCUGCAUAUACAUUUUUUAUAUGUAUGGGAUCACAUGUGUGUACAUACAUGUGGAGGCAGGAGUUUGACAUCAGGUAUCUUUUUUGAUAACUCAUCAACCUAUAUAUUGGAAUAGGGUCUCUUGUUUGAGCCCAGAGUUCACCAAUUCAGGUAGUCUAGGUAGCCACCUCACUCCCAUUCACUGGGAUUACAGAUGAGCACUAAGCCCACCUAGUAUUUAUGUGGAACUGAGGAGCUAAACCCUAGUCUUCACCUGACACACACACAGCUAGGACUUUACUCACUGAGAUAUCUCCUUGACCCCAAUAAUAGCUUGCUAAUUCCCACAAUGUGGUGGAUUAUUUGGUCCAGAACAGGCUGUGAGGAGUAAACUUCUUUAGCAUCAUGGUCAACAAUGAUUUACUUUAACACUUGCCAUCUACAUCCAUACCUACCAUGAAUGCCUCAACUAUCUUCAUUAAGUGAAGAAAAAAAUAAUACCUCUUGCUAACCAUGUGGCCACGCUGUAACCCCAAUACCCAGGAAGCUAAGAAAGGAGGAUUUUCAUGAAUUUGGGCCAUGUUGGGUUAUAUAGUGAGUUCCAGGGUAGUAUGGGCUACAACAUAUGAUCUAGUCUCAAGGAACAAGAAGAAUAUCCAAGUUUUGAAUCAUUUUGCCUCUUUCCAAGAGUGAGGGAGAAGUUUUAUUGGGAUAUCCAAGUAGUAUAACACCAUUACCUUCCAUGUCCUACUGGCUUGUGGUCAAGGAAACAAGAAGUCAGUGGGUAAGUUGAGCAUGAGCCCUUAUUAGCUCAUGCCAAGAUGCCCAGAAGUAAAAGUGCUCACUGUGACUUUUUCAACUGGCAAUGCAAAAUAAUGCUUUUUUUAUUUCUCUCUAAGAGUACAGAUUUGUACUCUGAACUCCCACAGUUGUGGAACUAGCCACAUUCUAAUAGAAAUGUACUUUAAACUGAGUUACACUGGUCUGCCCUCAUCUGGUAGCAAUCGUCAGGUACGAGAAAGAGUCAUUGAUAGGAUCUUAAGGAACAUCUUCCUAUUGGCUGUGCUUGUAAGUCCCCAUUGUACACAUGGCAGUGACUUGCUACAGUGUGAACUUCAGGGAAUCUGACUGAGAGCAAAACUCACACCUAUAUCAACACUCUUCAUGUUGCACUCACUAGAAGGAGACAUUCUCAAUCACCCUACCUAACUACUAUUUCAUGUUUCAAUUUUCCAUUUAUUAGGAUAGCGUACAUCUUAUUAUUUAAUUUUAGGUAAGAAUCUGGGACAUUGUUUGUUAUAGACCAACCUGGGCUACUGACUGCAGCCACAUGGCUUUGGGUCCAGAGUUCUCCCAAGCUUUAAUAUUCAAUAACUCUGCAGUUUUUUCUAUGAGUUUUGUGAAACUGUGACCAAAAUAUCUGACAAAUAAACUUAAAAAUGGAA